CUUAUUUUCUGUAAUAACCGUUGCAGAUGGGAGCCAUGAGUUUGUGAAUGAAUAGACAACGGCACGCCUGGAAAACAGAGCGAAGUCUCCUUUGUGCCUUUAGCGCUAUAAGGAACCUUUAAAGAAAAAUCUUUGAGGUGCUGCCACCGGACUUAGACAAAAAAAGACACGUGUUGCUGAAGAUGGAUCAGGCUUUGUUACUCAUCCAUAAUGAACUUCUCGGGACCAACUUGACUGUCUGCUGGAAAUCGGAAUCCUGUCAUCACUGCUUGUUUCAGGUUCUGGUAAAUGUUCCUCAGAGUCCAAAAGUGGGGAAGCCUAGCACUGUAGCCAUCCCUGUCAGCACCCAGCACCGAUCCAUCCUACAGCUGAAUGACGCCUUGGAAGAGAAAGAAGUUUGUAGGCUGGAAUACAAAUGUGGAGAAUUUUGAAACUAUUCUCUCGGUAAAGUACAUCCAUAAUGGAGUUAGUGAAAUUGCCUGUGACCGGGCUGUGAAGGAGGAUCCAGCCGGCAGUAACCUUCCUGUGAGCACUGCAUUCCUUAUUGGUCUCACUCUCAUCAUUGUGAUAUCUUUUCUGAGGCUCUUGUGGAGUUUGGAUGACUUUAAUAAUCGGAUUUCUAAGGCCAUAAGUUCUCGAGAAACUGAUUGCCUCAUCAAUUCUGAGCUGGGAUCUCCCAGCAGGACAGGCCCCCUAUGGUGACAUCAAGCCAGCAGUGUGGCGUCCGUUUGCCUUGCCACUCCCUCUCCACGGUAUGGACACCUUCAGGGAGAUUGCUGUCAUACUCAUGGUCUUCGUCAAUUGUGGAGAAGGGAAAUACUGGUACUUCAAACACACAAGUUGGAAUGGGUUGAUGGUGGCUGACCUCGCGUUCCCAUGGUUUGUAUUUAUUAUGGGAUCUUCCAUUUUUCUAUCAAUGACUUUUAUACUGCAAUGGGGAUAUUCAAAAUUCAGAUUGCUGGGGAAGAUUGCAUGGAGGAGUUUCCUGCUAAUCUGCAUAGGAAUUAUCAUUGUGAAUCCCAAUUAUUGCCUUGGUUCAUUGUCUUGGGACAAGGUGCGCAUUCCUGGUGUGCUGCAGUGCUUGGGGGUGACUUGCUUUGUGGUUGCUGUGUCGGAGCUCCUCUUUGUUAAUCCUGUGCCUGAACAUUGUGCCUCGGAGAGGAGAUGCCUUUCUCUUCGAGACAUAAUGUCCAGCUGGCCCUAGAGGCUGCACAUCCUGGCGCUGGAAGGCCUGUGGCUGGGCUUGACACUCCUCCUGCCAGUCCCUGGGUGCCCUACUGGUUAUCCUGGACCUGGGGGCAUUGGAGAUUUUGGCAAGUAUCCAAACUGUACUGGAGGAGCUGCAGGCUACAUGGACCCGCCUGUAGCUGGGAGACGAUUGCCUUUACCAUCGCCCAUCUUCUGCUGUGCUUUCCCACACCGAGGUGGCCUAUGGCCCCGAGGGCAUCCUGGGCACCAUCCACUCCAUCGUGAUGGCCUUUUUAGUAGUUCAGGCAGGAAAAAUACUAUUGUAUUACAAGGCUCAGACCGAAGACAUCCUGGUUCGAUUCACUGCUUGGCGUUGUAUUCUUUGGCUCAUUUCUGUUGCUCUGACAAAAGUUUCUGAAAAUGAAGGUUUUAUUCCAGUAAACAAAAAUCUCCGAUCCCUUUCAUAUGUCACCAUGCUCAGUUCUUUUGCCUUCUUCGUCCUGCUGGGCCUGUACACGGUUGUGGAUGUGAAGGGGCUGUGGACAGGAACCCUGCUCUUUCAUGCAGGAAUGAAUUAUAUUCUGGUGUAUGUUGCUCAUGAGGUGUUUGAGACCUACUUAUCCUUUCAGUGGAAGCUGGAGGACAACCAGUCCCACAGGGAGCACCUGACUCAGAACAUUGUUGCCACUGCCCUCUGGGUGCUCACUGCCUACAACCUCUAGAGAAAGAAGAUUUUUUUGGAAAAUCUGAUGGCUCCUGCUGACAUGUACUGCUGGGAGACUCUAGUGGGCCUGUAGGGAGGACUGAAGCAGCCUUCAUUAAAGGGAAGCAAUCAUAAGU